rnacentral:rRNA from 1 species
AUUGAACGCUGGCGGCAGGCUUAACACAUGCAAGUCGAGCGGGGUGAUGGUGCUUGCACUAUCACUUAGCGGCGGACGGGUGAGUAAUGUUUAGGAAUCUGCCUAUUAGUGGGGGACAACAUCUCGAAAGGGAUGCUGAUACCGCAUACGUCCUACGGGAGAAAGCAGGGGAUCACUUGUGACCUUGCGCUAAUAGAUGAGCCUAAGUCGGAUUAGCUAGUUGGGGGGGUAAAGGGCUACCAAGGGGACGAUCUGUAGCGGGUCGGGGAGGAUGAUCCGCCACACUGGGACUGAGACACGGCCCAGGAUCCUACGGGAGGCAGCAGUGGGGAAUAUUGGACAAUGGGGGGAACCCUGAUCCAGCCAUGCCGCGUGUGUGAAGAAGGCCUUAUGGUUGUAAAGCACUUUAAGCGAGGAGGAGGCUCUUUUGGUUAAUACCCAAGAUGAGUGGACGUUACUCGCAGAAUAAGCACCGGCUAACUCUGUGCCAGCCGCCGCCGUAA